rnacentral:rRNA from 1 species
GACGAACGCUGGCGGCGUGCUUAACACAUGCAAGUCGAACGCUGAAGACCUGGCUUUUGUUGGUUUGGAUGAGUGGCGAACGGGUGAGUAACACGUGAGUAACCUGCCCUCUUCUUUGGGAUAACGCCCGGAAACGGGUGCUAAUACUGGAUAUUCACUGAUCUUCGCAUGGGGGUUGGUGGAAAGGUUUGUUCUGGGGGGGGAUGGGCUCGCGGCCUAUCCGCGUGUUGGUGGGGUGAUGGCCUACCAAGGCUUUGACGGGUAGCCGGCCUGAGAGGGUGACCGGUCACAGUGAGACUGAGAUACGGCCCAGAGUCAUACGGGAGGCAGCAGUGGGGAAUAUUGCACAAUGAGCGAAAGCCUGAUGCAGCGACGCGGCGUGAGGGAUGGAGGCCUUCGGGUUGUAACCCUCUUUCGCUCAUGGUCAAGCCGCAACUGUGGGUUGUGGUGAGGGUAGUGGGUAAAGAAGCGCCGGCUAACUACGUG